UGUGUGUGAAUGCAGUGUUAACACGCUGCUGAUGUACGAACACACGCGAAUGGGAUGUACAGUGUGUAUGUGAAUACAAAACAGCGGAUGGUGUGUGUCGACUGCAAACCAAGAGUCGUGGCUUCAAAUACGGCAACGGAGUUACUUUGGUUAUGACCAAGUCUAAAGAGACAGUGUCAGGCUUUCCCGUGUCAAGAUCCUCCACCAAUACUUACGUAUCAAGAAGAUACAGUGCUUACUUAUGACUAGAAGUGACCAGUAGAGGGCGCCUGAUUGAUUUAUUGAGACCAGAGAGGUUCGUCUGUGUGACUCGACUGGACUAAAGAAACUGACCCGAGUGCUUCUGGUGCACCAUGUCUUCACCAUGCUCUGAAGAAGAUUGCGAGAAGAAGGCCAGCGGGGUGGUGAAAGGAGUCCACGCUAAACUCCGCAAGAAGCUGAAAGAAGGUACAAGCAUGAUGUAUACAAUCUGAUGUUAAAUGCUCGGAUUCUCUCAAAAUCUCUCUAACAAUUGGGUUACAUCUUGAUCCAGACAAGCUGUGGGUUUUCUUUCUUGUGCAUCUUUCGUUAGUGAGGUUCGCUAUAGCACCAUGUGUGAAUCUCUUUUCAGUGGUGUUGGUACUGAAAAGAACUGGUGGUUGACAACUCAAAGUGGCGAUCAGUAUGCUCUGAUCGUCUUCAGGGGAAGGAUAUUUGUUGAGUUUUGUCGCAGCGGUGAUCUGCUUGUUUUCCUUGUUUGUUUGCUUGUGUCCGACAAUGGCAUUGACUUGGCAAUUUGAUAUAUUUGCAUAUAAAAAAAAUAUUUGAAACGAUUUGUGUUUGGCCGUUUUCACCGAUUCCCAGUAUAUUUUUGACACACGUCUGUGAAGGCUGAUUUAUGUUGCACACUUGCAAGGUGAAUCCACUUUGCUAGAGAGAGGAAGGAGUUGCCUCGAAUCUCUAUGGCAACAGAGGCCAACACCAGGGCAACAUGGAUCAUGUUAUUACUGUGUCAGGGGCCAUCAUGUGAUUCCAUGCAUGGUAUUGAGAUCUUUCUUUUCGAACCAUGGCCCGAUUUCAUGAAGCCUGUAAGCACAAAAACUUGCUAAGCACAGAAAAAUGUUGUUCAGAAGAAUCAGGUUACCUGCCAACAUUUUGUAAAACUAACAUUAUUGCGACUGGUGCCCUACUAAUUUUGGGCUAGGCAGUGUUAUGGGUCGCAUGUUGUUUUACAGACUAAAUAAACACCAUUUGUAUAGCGCAUAUCACUGCUAUUAAGUCCCCACGUAUGCGCUUUAUAGAAACAAAGAAAGCAACAAGAUACCAGCGACUUUUUUUUGAUAAAAAAUCGUUCAACAAACUCAGGUAUGCCACAGCUCAGCGGCAGCUACUUGGAACGAUUGUGAGCUCCAUGCGAUUUACUGGUUAGAACCCAUUAGGUAGUGAUCAACACAGUGCCAGUGUAGUAUUUGUACAUGUAUCAUAUGGUAAUGGCGCUACAGUCAAACACAUGGUGAGACCAAAACCAACUUACCCCUUGCACAAUGCCCAGUGCACUUACACAUGGCUAACCUGUCAUUUCAUUUCGUUUCUGGUUGUGAAGCCAAGGAAUCACAGAAAAGUUAACUUAAUCACUAUCCAAGAACCCGAUGUAGAAAAGACAAGGAAGGAAGUUUCAGUUUUAGAUGCGAGAGAAAACCCCCCCGAGAAUCAUUCCGGGACAAACCAUUGCAGUCAGAUAGGGACUGAAAUCCCAAUCCACAUAGUGCCCUCGUAAGGCUUCGAACUGAGGUCUUAAUGGUGGAAGGCAAGGAAAGAUACCACUGAUCCAACCCGACCGCCCUAACCGUCAUUCCAAAUGGUAGAUGCGCAUUGUUUGUAGGUGUGUACCAAAUUGUGCAAGGGGUCAGUACACCCAUGCAUUGUGUGGUGUGUGCGUAGUUAGUCUUGGUGCAAGACGUUUCUUGUUUUGCUUUCACACCCAGCGUGGCCAACUCACCAACAUAGGUAUUUUUCUUAUACCCAGUACCAGUGCUGUGUGCCAUCGGUUGAAUAUGCUCAAGUACAUGAAGUAAGCACACUGGCUCUACAUUAUCAUUGUUGUGUAACAUCUUUUAAGAUACUCGUGAUGUGUAAAGAAAUAAACAAAAUGAUGUUUGGGGACAAUUGCAUGUCAAAUUUGUGGUGUACGUACUUGCCGACCAGUCUAGUUCACAGAACCCAUGCUCUGGUGUUGUCAGCAGCAGAGUAUAGGUUUGAAUCUCAGCCCUGAUUGCUAAGUUAAAAGUUGUGAGUGUAGUGCAUUCUGCUCUACCAUCCAGGUUCCUAAGGGAUAAUACUUGUGCUUACAGACUGUGAUCCAUGUUUCAGCCUCUUGAGUGAGUGGCAGCGCACUUGAUUUGGGUUGACAUCCCAAAUCAGUUACGUUUAGCCAUCUUGA